rnacentral:rRNA from 1 species
AUUGAACGCUGGCGGCAGGCCUAACACAUGCAAGUCGAGCGGAUGAAGGGAGCUUGCUCCUGGAUUCAGCGGCGGACGGGUGAGUAAUGCCUAGGAAUCUGCCUGGUAGUGGGGGAUAACGUCCGGAAACGGGCGCUAAUACCGCAUACGUCCUGAGGGAGAAAGUGGGGGAUCUUCGGACCUCACGCCAUCAGAUGAGCCUAGGUCGGAUUAGCUAGUUGGUGGGGUAAAGGCCUACCAAGGCGACGAUCCGUAACUGGUCUGAGAGGAUGAUCAGUCACACUGGAACUGAGACACGGUCCAGACUCCUACGGGAGGCAGCAGUGGGGAAUAUUGGACAAUGGGUGAAAGCCUGAUCCAGCCAUGCCGCGUGUGUGAAGAAGGUCUUCGGAUUGUAAAGCACUUUAAGUUGGGAGGAAGGGCAGUAAGUUAAUACCUUGCUGUUUUGACGUUACCAACAGAAUAAGCACCGGCUAACUUCGUG